rnacentral:rRNA from 1 species
GACGAACGCUGGCGGCGUGCUUAACACAUGCAAGUCGAACGGAAAGGCCCUGCUUGCAGGGUACUCGAGUGGCGAACGGGUGAGUAACACGUGGGUGAUCUGCCCUGCACUUCGGGAUAAGCCUGGGAAACUGGGUCUAAUACCGGAUAGGAGCCAUUUUUAGUGUGAUGGUUGGAAAGUUUUUUCGGUGUAGGAUGAGCUCGCGGCCUAUCAGCUUGUUGGUGGGGUAAUGGCCUACCAAGGCGGCGACGGGUAGCCGGCCUGAGAGGGUGGACGGCCACAUUGGGACUGAGAUACGGCCCAGACUCCUACGGGAGGAAGCAGUGGGGAAUAUUGCACAAUGGGCGCAAGCCUGAUGCAGCGACGCCGCGUGGGGGAUGACGGCCUUCGGGUUGUAGACUCCUUUCGCUAGGGACGAAGCUUUUUGUGACGGUACCUAGAUAAGAAGCACCGGCUAACUACGUG